GGGGGGAGCAAGCGUUGUUCGGAUUUACUGGGCGUAAAGGGCGCGUAGGCGGCGCAACAAGUCACUUGUGAAAUCUCCGGGCUUAACCCGGAGCGGCCAAGUGAUACUGUCGUGCUAGAGUGCGGAAGGGGCUACUGGAAUUCUCGGUGUAGCGGUGAAAUGCGUAGAUAUCGAGAGGAACACCUGCGGCGAAGGCGGGUAGCUGGGCCGACACUGACGCUGAGGCGCGAAAGCCAGGGGAGCGAACGGGAUUAGAUACCCCGGUAGUCCUGGCCUUAAACGAUGGAUGCUUGGUGUCCGAGGUUACAUAGUCCUCGGGUGCCGGCGCUAACGCAUUAAGCAUCCCGCCUGGGGAGUACGGUCGCAAGACUGAA
rnacentral:rRNA from 1 species